rnacentral:tRNA from 1 species
GGGUGUAUAGCUCAGUGGUAGAAUGCAUGUAAAGUUUUACAUGCACAAGGUCCUGGGUUCAAUCCCCAGUACUUCCA